GUAGCGAGCGCACAAACGCACACGGAGAGAUGCGCGGACACACACUGCGGCCCCCGAGGCUCCUCCGGUUCACACUCGAUUGCCGGGGGUCAGGCGGGAGGGGUCAGCGGGGAGGAGGUGUGCUGGGCGACUGGUUUCCCACGAGGCGUCGAUCUGAGGCAGUUCUCCCCCCGUCGUGCUGCUCUGCUUAAUCCGCAAACCACCCGGCUCACCCUCCAGAUGUGCCACAGUAACUAGUCUGCAUGUGAGCCGAUUAAGCAGUUAACGGCCCACGUAUCAGCUGUUAUUACUGGCAAAGACACGCACACCAAAACAACACCACGAUGUUCACCCUGGUUUCCAUCUACGACAAGCAGAAAGCAAACAGGAGAAAAGAAGGAACCGAAUGAAGGAAUGAAAAAGUCACCCUCUCUCUGCUUCCGGACUCCAAGCAAAUAGCGACACAGCCGAGGAGGUGAGAAGGCGCGAGCUGUCGUAACACAUCGGCUCCUCGCCGUCCACGACGAGCACCCGGACGGCGUUGGAGCCGCGCUGGUGUCCCCGGCUGUGUCCCCCGAGGAGAGCGAGGACACAGCGAGGGGGGCGGGGCCUCCAGGAGACAAUCAAGGCAGCACAGACGAGGUUCUAACCAACCAGCCGGAGGC
ensembl:lncRNA